UCGUUUAUAUGAACACUCACACAUAGCAUGCAACAUGCACCUAGCUGAACAAUAAAUCAGUAUCUUUUUUUGUUGUUGUUCAGUCUACACGGCUCAAUUACUCAUCUCCGCCUGGCAGUUUUUGCCACUCGGUAUCGUUUGCGCUUUAGAGUUUUUCUCCUCAUUGUAUUGUUUUCCUCUCUUUGUAUUUCUUUCUCCCAUAUAUUUUCUGUCAAAUUGUGUUUGGUUUUGGAUUUGUUGACAGGCACAUAAUGCAUCCGUCCAUUUUCCACAUCGCUUAUCGUACGCAGGGUCGCGGGGAGCGGGGGAUUGGGGGCAUUGCAAUCAGCCUACAACGCUUGUCUUUGGACUGGAGGAGGAAACCAGAGUACCCAGAGGAAAUCCUCGAAGCAUGAGGAACACAUGCAAACUCUGAGCACACAGUGCGGAGGUGGGAUUUGAACCCUUAACCUCAGAGCGCCUGGGACACCACAGAGACUGGACUAUCUUCCACUGAAUGUGAGAAUGUGAGAGGAACAGACCCCACCACUGACUUUAAGAAUCAAAUAUACAAUAGUACAUGAACUAGAAAGAAAAAAACAAUCAAGGAAUAGUGGGGG